rnacentral:rRNA from 1 species
CAAUAGCGUAUAUUAAAGUUGUUGCAGUUAAAAAGCUCGUAGUUGGAUUUGUGGCGUACGGUGUGUUCCGGGCACUUGUUGUCUGAGUAACCUGCUGUUGCCAUCCUUGGGUGGAACCUGUGUGGCAUUAGAUUGUCGUGCAGGGGAUGCCCAUCAUUUACUGUGAAAAAAUUAGAGUGUUCAAAGCAGGCUUAUGCCGUUGAAUAUAUUAGCAUGGAAUAAUGAGAUAGGACUUUUUUGCUAUUUUGUUGGUUUGCGCAAAGAGGUAAUGAUUAAUAGGGACAGUUGGGGGUGUUCGUAUUCCAUUGUCAGAGGUGAAAUUCUUGGAUUUUUGGAAGACGAACUACUGCGAAAGCAUUUACCAAGGAUGUUUUCAUUAA